GGCUCAGGAUGAACGCUAGCGGCAGGCUUAAUACAUGCAAGUCGUGGGGCAGCAUGAGUAGCAAUACUUGAUGGCGACCGGCAAACGGGUGAGGAACACGUACACAACCUUCCUUCAAGCGGGGAAUAGCCCAGAGAAAUUUGGAUUAAUACCCCAUAAUAUAUUUGAUAAGGCAUCUUAUUAAUAUUAAAGCUUCGGCACUUGAUGAUGGGUGUGCGGCUGAUUAGAUAGUUGGCGGGGUAACGGCCCACCAAGUCUACGAUCAGUAGCUGAUGUGAGGGCAUGAUCAGCCACACGGGCACUGAGACACGGGCCCGACUCCUACGGGAGGCAGCAGUAAGGAAUAUUGGACAAUGGACGAAAGUCUGAUCCAGCCAUGCCGCGUGAAGGAUUAAGGUCCUCUGGAUUGUAAACUUCUUUUAUAUGGGACGAAAAAAGGGCAUUCUCGUUCACUUGACGGUACCAUAUGAAUAAGCACCGGCUAACUCCGUG
rnacentral:rRNA from 1 species